rnacentral:lncRNA from 1 species
UGUUAUUGCAUUGCUUUGAGGAUGAAUUCUUGAUCUUUUGAUGUUCUUUCACUCCCUUGUGGCUCCAUCUUCAAAUCUAAAAUUUAAAUGACAAAAAAAAAUAGAUUGCAACCUCACAAAUCACUCCCUCACGUGUUUACUCUCGUAGUAUGGGCACUCGUGUUUCACUCAAUUUUGGCUUUUACCCUCUUUUGAGCUCACACUCUCUUGCUUUUUACCACUCAAGAAAUCUUUUAUAACUUUAUACAAAAGGGUCAAUUCAAACAACAAU